rnacentral:rRNA from 1 species
AAUGAACGCUAAUAAUAUGCUUUAUACAUGCAAGUCGAACGAAAUUUUAUUUCGUGGCGUACGGGUGAGUAGUGAUGCAGAAUGUUACCUUUUAGUUGAGAACAAAAAUGCUUUUUAAGCAUAAAAUUCUUAGAUAUUUAAUAAAAGUCAAAAUGGUUUACUAUUUUGUCUGCUAAAAGAUAGGUCUGCGUAAGAUUAGGUUGUUGGUUAUCGUAAUAGUUUACCAAGCCUACGAUCUUUAGUUGAUCUU